UUCCGGUUGAUCCCGCCAGAGGCUACUGCUAUCGGGGUCCGACUAAGCCAUGCGAGUUGAGAGGGGUAAGCCCUCGGCAUAUUGCUCAGUAACACGCGGAUAACCUGCCCUUGGGUUUGGGAUAACCCCGGGAAACUGGGACUAAUACCGGAUAGAUCAAAGAAACUGGAAUGUUCUCUGAUCGAAAGCUCCGGCGCCCAAGGAUGGGUCUGCGGCCUAUCAGGUAGUAGUGGGUGUAACGUACCUACUAGCCUACGACGGGUAAGGGUUGUGAGAGCAAGAGCCCUGAGAUGGAUUCUGAGACAUGAAUCCAGGCCCUACGGGGUGCAGCAGGCGCGAAAACUUUACACUGCGGGAAACCGCGAUAAGGGGACCCCGAGUGCCAGCACCUAGUGCUGGCUGUCCAGCUGUUCAAAUAACAGUUGUUAGCAAGGGCCGGGCAAGACCGGUGCCAGCCGCCGCGGUAACACCGGCGGCCCGAGUGGUAGCCGUUAUUAUUGGGUUUAAAGGGUCCGUAGCCGGCCUAUUAAGUCUCUUGGGAAAUCUGGCGACUCAAUCGUCAGGCGUUCAAGAGAUACUGGUAGGCUUGGGACCGGGAGAGGUGGGAGGUACUCCAGGGGUAGGGGUGAAAUCUCGUAAUCCUUGGGGGACCACCGAUGGCGAAGGCAUCCCACCAGAACGGGUCCGACGGUGAGGGACGAAAGCUGGGGGCACGAACCGGAUUAGAUACCCGGGUAGUCCCAGCCGUAAACGAUGCUCGCUAGGUGUCAGGUGCGGUGCGACCGCAUCUGGUGCCGCAGUGAAAACUUGAAGCGAGUCACCUGGGAAGUACGGUCGCAAGGCUGAAACUUAAAGGAAUUGGCGGGGGAGCACUACAACGGGUGGAGCCUGCGGUUCAAUUGGAUUCAACGCCGGA
rnacentral:rRNA from 1 species